AUGACGUGGCAAUUUCAGGCUCUUUGAUUGGUUGAUUUUUUUAUCCUACGUGGACACCCUCUCCAUGGCUUAUAUUUGCCUUUUAGUAUAGUAUAGAUUUCAUAAGCAGUUUUAUCUCUGUAAUAUUUUGUUCUUCUGUAUUUUCCUUUUUUUAUGACUGAAAAUAUAUUUGAGGGGUGAUUUUGUAUUUUUUUAAAAAUAUAUAACAAAACAUGUUAUAUGCGUUUCAAACAAAGUCAUCAAAAAAAUAUACGUUAAGAAAGCAUGCAAACUCAUGCAAUUGAAAAAUGCCGCACUUUUAAUGUCUAGGAGAAGCUGAGUGGAUAAUAAGAAGCUAGCCUUCUCCACACCAGACGUUCAACCAGCCCAAUGAGAAAUCCAAGCUUUACUUGAUUUGUUGGAUCAACAGACUGCUAAUGUUAAAAAAGGGCAGCUUGAAAAAACUUUUUUUUAAUCUCAAUCAAAUAAUUUUUUAUUCAAAAUUACUUACGAAGUAUGUAAUUCAUUUAUUCUUAAAUUAGCAUGCAUAAUUAUUGAAAGCCAUUUUAUUUGUGACAUCACUUUUGCCUGGUUUAGUUUAUUGUGUAGCUGUAAUUUUCUUAUCCCGAACAUGUAGAAGAAGCAAUCGUUUAUAUCAGUGUUAAGUUGCAAAAUGGUCGUGAGUUGAGUGUUAACUAAGAUUUCGUACUUUCUGCAGCAAAAGAGCCUCGAGCGGUAUGACUUCUGGCUGAAGCAAAAAGAUCACCAGCCUAAAAAGACGCACAACAGAGACAUGAAUGCAUGAAAUACAUACCAACAAUUUAAGAUAACAGUUUAAAUGUGUCAUUCGCACUGUAGAGUCAUGUACAGUCAUUAAUUGUGUUGACAAAGAUCAAGUAUAUUUUAUAGAACCACAAAGCUGUAAAAUUAGUUACAAACCAUUUCAAGACUUUUUCUGUGUAAUAAUAAGGCGAAUUAUCUACAAAGACUGAGUAAAAUGAUAACAUAUUACCUUGUCAAGAAGGAGCUUAAACUCCACAAGUUCAUAGUGAAAGUGAUGCAACUUGUCAUUAUUAGCAUUGAUUUCAGAAAGUCCAACUCCUAAUUCUCCAAGCUUGGCCUGAAAAGGUGAAAAGAAAAGAAAUGUGUUCAGGAAUAAACCGACACUAGAUUUUGACCCGCGCGCCCGCGCGGGUAUUUAUUUAUUUUUAAUAUAUUUUUAAACUAUUUAACGAUAUUUUUAGAAGUAUAAUUUAUUUACAUGUUUUUGGUUUUUACAAUCUUUGACGGACAUAGGAUAGUCUGACUCUUUCCCAUUCUAGAAAUUUAUAAUAUCUUAACAGUACUAAAGCCCUAAAAACAUAAUAUCCAAAAAGACGGAUCGUAUUGUAACGGGUAUUCUGAUGUACUUGUCGAUCUGAUUUUGUAAGCAAAAUAUUUUUUUUUGGCACAAAUGAAACAUUAUUAUUAGAUUAUUCUUAUUAUUUUUUAUAACUUGUGUAGUUUGUUUUCAAAAUUGUAUAACUUGUGCAAUUUUUGUUUUAUAUGAAUUUGGACUAAUAAUAUAUGUACCACUUGUUUUGUUAUGAUUUUUUUCUAAAUUUUAGAACAUAUUGAAAAUUAUAAUUCAAAAAUAAAUUAUAUGAAAUGUUAUUAAUAAUAAAUUUGUUUUCUGAUAAUUAUAUUCUCUAACUAUUUAUAUGGGACUAAACUAAUUAAGAUAAUAAUAUAUAUACAAAAUAGUGUUUUUUUAAUAUUUAAAAUUACAUUUACGGAGUUUUAAUUUUUUUCACAAAAAAACAACAACCAUAAGAUGCUAUAUAAAAUAUAGUAUUCAUUAACUUUCUUUAUAUAAAAAAUGUAAAUGUCAAUUAUUUGCAAAAUUGGGCCAUACACAUAAACUUCCUAAAUUAUUUACACAUUACUUUAAAUAUGGCCCAUAUAAAAAUUGUAAUCAAUGUCCAUUAGCCCAGCAAAUUAUUCCGGGAAAGCAAAAACUAAAACAACAUUUUUUUUGCUUCUUCUUAUCUCGAUCUGUCGCUGCCUCUCUCUCUCUCUCUUUCUUAACUCUUCGUGUUCUUCAAUCCUUCAAACACCCAACUCAAAACAGAUUCUGAACUACUUUGAUUUCAUGUUCACUCUCAAUCCGGAUUAAAUACAAUCGAUCUAUUGUAUUACAGAUAUAGGUCAAAAAUAUACCAAUAUUGGCUGCACUCUCGAUUCAUUGAAGGUCGAUAUUGACCUCCUGCCCCAGUUAUUUUGACGGUGUCAACGACCUUCCAUUCACCAACAGGACGCACUCGAGAGUAUCACCAGAAAAACUGGUGCUUUGUUUCCACGAAUGAAGAAGUUUGAGGGUUAGACGCCAUUCAUCUCGGUAAGGUUUUAGAUCCUUAAUAAGACACAUUUUUUGAUCGUUUGACAUAUUUUGCUAUUUUGCUAUGAGAUUUCGAUGGGUGGUGUUAUAUUAUAGUAGAGGUAUAUAUAUAUGGGUGUAGAAAUUUAAUAAGAGCCUAAUUUAUGGUUAGGAUAGAUACAGAACCGAGAUUUGCUCAUUUCUGUUUUCAACGAAAUCGUAUAUAUGAAAAUAUAUCUUAUUCAAUAUUAGAUACUAUUAGAUACUAUUAAAAUUGUUUGCGCAAAACAUGGUAACAAAUUAGUAUAGAAUAUUUUGAGAUAUAUUCCCUUCCUCGAUCUGUUAGAUCUAUUAAGAUAUUCUCUUCCUCCCAAAUUUUUGGUAACUGAAUAAUUUGGUUGAUUAGCAAAAUAUUUUCGUUAAGAUGAUCACGCGCGGAUACGUGGAGAGAAAGAAUGUUCAAAACAGGAAGCAAGAUUCGAUUUUUUUUAAAAUUGGGCUUACGUAUCAGAAUUUUUAAAUGGGCCAAACCAAAUGUAUUGAAUUCGAUUGUAAAGCAUUUUUUUUAAAAAUUACUAAAGUGGAUCUAAUUAAACAUGUGUCCAAACACAUUUCAUUAAGAUUACUAAUCAAGUUUCCAAACAAACCCAUUUUGUACUUCAGUUUUAAUAAGAUAGAUGCGUAUGAAUUGUAGAUCAGUUACACAUAGUUGUAGAGACUAUUUGAUAUGUAGUUAAAUAAAUAAAAACAUAUAAGCAUUUCUCUGAAAAACCAGCAAUCAAAGAGCAUAAGUAUAACUACCUCCAACAAUUUUUGGGCUGACACAAUAACCUUUGGGUCUAGGCUGGAGCUCUGUAAUCUUCAAGAAACGCAACAGUCAUUGAAUCGAACGUACCAAGCCAACCCGAUACAUCCAUGUACAUGUGUAAAAUUUGCACUGAUGUUAAAAGUUUCAUUUUUUUUUAUGUGAGAAGAAACGACACUAAAGAAAGUUUUAGAAAUGAGAAUGAGGCUGACCUUUGAAUUUUAAUGGUUGAUUUGCUCCCGGUCAACUGACCAAUGAUGUCUGAACAAAAUAUAAAAAUAAUCAUAACAUCAGCGUGGAAUUUGAAUUCUCUGAUUUAGAACCAAAAUCUUAAAGACCAACCAGGAAGAUGAGUACUGGUGUUAGCCAAAGCAAGCAGAUUCUCUUCAUUGCAGAAACAACUCCAAUCGUCUCGGAUUGACCGAGUCGGUAAUCUCAGCAAAGGCGGUCUCAUCAUUGAACCGUAUGGAGAGCUUGGAAUCCGACAGCUUGAAGUUUGGGUUCUUACGUGUAAUGUCGAACCCAGUAACAGAGUACAUUGAGCCUGAAGGUGUUGAGCCAGUGUGCGUUAACAGAACUUUGAAUCAUUGUCGACUGUGAUAGGUCAAAAUCAAAAGGAAUUAUACUUUCCAUAUUGAAUUAAAAAAGGCAGUAAAAGCAGGAAGAAAGAUUAUAUGACUUUUUUCAAAACAAAAAAGGAGUUAUAUGACACCGGAAUUACCAAGGAGCAUGUCGACAGCCAUGAGACACAUAGGCCAUGAGUUCACCACCUUUCUUAAGGUUUCAGACUUCCCAUAAUCUAUGUAAUCGGACUCCGGCGGUGUUGGAAUAGCGCCCAGAUUUGAAGUCGGCGAGCAAAAUCGUUGGGACAGCCAUUCCUGGUGUGAGGGUUACUAAGGAUUCUAAUGAUGCUAGAAGGAGAAGCUGAUGAAUCUGACAGAUUCUGCUGCAGACUUAGCCUUUUCCGUCGCCUGUAAGAGAAAGAAUGUUCACCUAAAUAUGCUCUUGGAUUCACCGACUCCUAAUCAAAGCACGCAUUCAAGGCUAGAUCAUGAUGAUUGAAUUAAGGGAGAGUAACCACGAAGACAAAAGAAACAGAUGCUUUUCAGUGCUACAUACGAUAACAACGAAGAUGAAAAGUCUCUAUACAAUGAAGGGAGACGACAAUGUCAAAAGUUUAGGGCUUUUUAUCAAGUUACAGGCUUGCAUUAAAUCAACCGUAGCCCAACACUUGUUAAUGAAAGACAGCGCACAGGUUAGAGUGGACACCUGUAAUUCCAUCAGAAGCCAAAUUUCUGACGUGGCGGGUGACAUGGCGCAACAGAAAAGAAGCAAACCCUUCUUCAUAAUAAUACUAGGGAAAACCCGCCUUACAGGCGAGCAGCGAAUGAAUGAAUAAUAUAAAAGUAUCUUAAAUUGUAAUGAAAAUGUGAAACUAUAAACUAUUAUUAAUUAAAAUAACAUACACUUUAAUUAUUUGUUUUGUUAUUUUUAUUAGAGAAUUUUUUUCUAAUCAUUUUAAAUAAUUCGAUGAAAAUGAUAAUGGCUACAUUUGAUGUUUUAAUAUUUUUUUUUUACUUGGCUAUGAAAAUACGUUUACAAUUAGGUAUAAAAAUUAGAAAUAACUUUUUAUAGUUGUUUCAUUUCAUUUAUACAUAAUAUUUAAAUUAUUUAGGACGAUAAAUAUUUGUUAUAUUUAGUUCAUCCAUGAUCUAAAAUCCUUAGAUUAAGAUAUUGAAAUACUUUCA